AGAGUUUGAUCCUGGCUCAGGAUGAACGCUAGCGGCAGGCUUAAUACAUGCAAGUCGUGGGGCAGCAUGUCCCGAGCAAUCGGGAUGAUGGCGACCGGCAAACGGGUGCGGAACACGUACGCAACCUUCCUUUAACUGGAGCAUAGCCCCUCGAAAGAGGGAUUAAUACUCCGUAACAUAUUGAUAAGGCAUCUUAUUAAUAUUAUAGCUUCGGCGGUUAAAGAUGGGCGUGCGCCUGAUUAGGUAGUUGGCGGGGUAACGGCUCACCAAGCCUUCGAUCAGUAACUGGUGUGAGAGCACGACCAGUCACACGGGCACUGAGACACGGGCCCGACUCCUACGGGAGGCAGCAGUAAGGAAUAUUGGUCAAUGGACGCAAGUCUGAACCAGCCAUGCCGCGUGGAGGAUUAAGGCCCUCUGGGUUGUAAACUCCUUUUAUUUGGGAAGAAAUCCAUACAUUCUUGUGUGGUUGACGGUACCAGAAGAAUAAGCACCGGCUAACUCCGUGCCAGCAGCCGCGGUAAUAC
rnacentral:rRNA from 1 species